CUACGGUGGCUGCAGUGGGGAAUAUUGCACAAUGGAGGAAACUCUGAUGCAGCAACGCCGCGUGGAGGAUGACACUUUUCGGAGCGUAAACUCCUUUUAUAUAGGAAGAAGAUGACGGUACUAUAUGAAUAAGCGCCGGCUAACUCCGUGCCAGCAGCCGCGGUAAUACGGAGGGCGCAAGCGUUACUCGGAAUCACUGGGCGUAAAGAGCGUGUAGGCGGAUUAAAAAGUCAGAAGUGAAAUCCUAUAGCUUAACUAUAGAACUGCUUCUGAAACUCUUAAUCUAGAAUAUGGGAGAGGUAGAUGGAAUUUCUGGUGUAGGGGUAAAAUCCGUAGAGAUCAAAAGGAAUACCGAUUGCGAAGGCGAUCUACUAGAACAUUAUUGACGCUGAGACGCGAAAGCGUGGGGAGCAAACAGGAUUAGAUACCCGGGUAGUC
rnacentral:rRNA from 1 species